CCUACGGGUGGCAGCAGUGGGGGAUAUUGGGCAAUGGGGGAAACUCUGACCCAGCAACGCCGCGUGAGUGAAGAAGUAUCUCGGUUUGUAAAGCUCUAUCAGCAGGGACGAAGAAAUGACGGUACCUGAGUAAGAAGCCCCGGCUAACUACGUGCCAGCAGCCGCGGAAAUACGUAGGGGGCAAGCGUUAUCCGGAAGUACUGGGGGUAAAGGGAGCGUAGCCGGUGAUGUAAGUCUGGAGUGAAAGCCGGGGGCCCAACCCCCGGACUGCUUUGGAAACUAUGUGACUGGAGUGCAGGAGAGGUGAGCGGAAUUCCUAGUGUAGCGGUGAAAUGCGUAGAUAUUAGGAGGAACACCAGAGGCGAAGGCGGCUCACUGGACUGUAACUGACGUUGAGGCUCGAAAGCGUGGGGAGCAAACAGGAUUAGAUACCCGAGUAGUC
rnacentral:rRNA from 1 species